GACCUGAUUUUAGACUUUUCGUUAACCUUUAGCCAUUACACUAUGUGAAUGUAAAUCAUAAUUGUAUUAAAUAGCUGUAGCUUGUUGUUUUUGUUGUAAGGCAUUGACCCGGAAGCUACGCGACAUUUCCGCGGGCUGGUUCUGUUAUUUGACAGCUGCAGCUUCCAGGUUGUGUAAGGAAGGACGCACGUGAGUGAGCACAUCAGUCUCUGCAUCAUAUAGAGCAGCGUUUGUAAGUGGAAAUGUCGAGCCUGUCAGCAGCCAGUGUGGAGGCUUCACCAGCAAUAGAGGAAGCAGAGCAGAAGAAACCUCUCAAACCAUGCUGUGCGUGUCCUGACACCAAAAAAGCACAAGAUGCAUGCAUAAUUGAAAAGGGAGAAGAAAGCUGCACAGGCCUCAUCGAAGCGCACAAGGAGUGCAUGAGGGCACUUGGUUUUAAGAUAUAAUACUACCAUCAUCAUCAGAUUGAGUGAAUGCUUGUCAGGCCCUGAUCCGCAUGUUGUUGUAUGAAACAGAGCAGCUCAGAUAUUCUGCUAAAACUCUGCAUUUCGAAUGACAACCUGUGUGAAAUGGGACCCGGUGGGAUCAUUUAUUUAUAUUUCUACACUGCAGGGAAGAUUAUGCAGGGCUGAAUUUAUUCCUCUAAGGGAAAUGUCUGUCUUUUCGGUCUCUUUCUUUCAUAUGCGAUUUGUGUACAUUUAUGGUCAAUAAAGAUCCUAUGCAAGAUGUUAA